rnacentral:rRNA from 1 species
CCUACGGGAGGCAGCAGUGGGGAAUAUUGCACAAUGGGGGAAACCCUGAUGCAGCGACGCCGCGUGAGUGAAGAAGUAAUUCGUUACGUAAAGCUCUAUCAGCAGGGAAGAAAAUGACGGUACCUGAGUAAGAAGCCUCGGCUAAUUACGUGCAAGCAGCAGCGGUAAUACGUAGGGGGCAAGCGUUAUCCGGAUUUACUGGGAGGAAAGGGAGCGUAGACGGUGCGCCAAGUCUGGAGUGAAAUGCCGCAGCUUAACUGCGGAACUGCUUUGGAAACUGGCGAACUAGAGUGCGGGAGGGGUGAGCGGAAUUCCAAGUGUAGCGGUGAAAUGCGUAGAUAUUAGGAGGAACACCAGUGGCGAAGGCGGCUUACUGGACCGUAACUGACGUGGAGGCUCGAAAGCGUGGGGAGCAAACAGGAUUAGAUACCCUUGUAGUC